rnacentral:rRNA from 1 species
CCUACGGGGGGCUGCAGUGGGGAAUAUUGGACAAUGGGGGGAACCCUGAUCCAGCCAUGCCGCGUGUGUGAAGAAGGCCCUCGGGUUGUAAAGCACUUUCAGUGAGGAAGAACUCCUGGUGGUUAAUACCCAUCAGGAAAGACAUCACUCACAGAAGAAGCACCGGCUAACUCCGUGCCAGCAGCCGCGGUAAUACGGAGGGUGCGAGCGUUAAUCGGAAUUACUGGGCGUAAAGCGCGCGUAGGUGGCUUGAUAAGCCGGUUGUGAAAGCCCCGGGCUCAACCUGGGAACGGCAUCCGGAACUGUCAAGCUAGAGUGCAGGAGAGGAAGGUAGAAUUCCCGGUGUAGCGGUGAAAUGCGUAGAGAUCGGGAGGAAUACCAGUGGCGAAGGCGGCCUUCUGGACUGACACUGACACUGAGGUGCGAAAGCGUGGGUAGCAAACAGGAUUAGAUACCCUGGUAGUC